CAGAAAUUAUUUGUAACGCUGGUUAAUUGUGCGUUAGAACUGAGUCUGUUUGUUGACCCCGUAUUGAAGGAAGAAAACCGCGAACACGUCAGUUUCUGUGCGCGCGGGUUAACUCCUCUGCUCAGCGUCAACCCGAACGCAAAAUGGAGGCGGGCGGCUCCUGCCUCACUUCAAAGAACUCUGCACACCUGCUCCCACCGUUCUCCCUCACCCUCCUCAAACAAGCCUGCUUAGUUCUCUCAUGAUCAUGUGGACACGCAAAGAGUCUUCUGCAAUUGUAUCUAAAAGGUAAAUGCCGAGUUCACCCCCAUUACCACUGGUGUCCACCUUCAUG